UACGUAGGGUGCGAGCGUUAAUCGGAAUUACUGGGCGUAAAGCGUGCGCAGGCGGUGAUGCAAGACAGAGGUGAAAUCCCCGGGCUCAACCUGGGAACUGCCUUUGUGACUGCAUGACUAGAGUACGGUAGAGGGGGAUGGAAUUCCGCGUGUAGCAGUGAAAUGCGUAGAUAUGCGGAGGAACACCGAUGGCGAAGGCAAUCCCCUGGACCUGUACUGACGCUCAUGCACGAAAGCGUGGGGAGCAAACAGG
rnacentral:rRNA from 1 species